AUUGAACGCUGGCGGCAGGCCUAACACAUGCAAGUCGAGCGGAGCGGCGGACGGGGGCGUAAUGCCUAGGAAUCUGCAUGGUAGUGGGGGAGAACGUCCGGAAACGGGCACUAAUACUGAAUACUAGCAGAAGAGCCUAGGUCGGAUUGGCUAGUUGGUGGGGUAAAGGCCUACCAAGGCGACGAUCCGUAACUGGUCUGAGAGGAUGAGCAGGCACACUGGAACUGAGACACGGUCCAGACUCCUACGGGAGGCAGCAGUGGGGAAUAUUGGACAAUGGGCGAAAGCCUGAUCCAGCCAUGCCGCGUGUGUGAAGAAGGUCUUCGGAUUGUAAAGCACUUUAAGCGGGGAGGCGUUACCAACAGAAUAAGCACCGGCUAACUUCGUGCCAGCAGCCGCGGUAAUAC
rnacentral:rRNA from 1 species